GACGAACGCUGGCGGCGUGCUUAACACAUGCAAGUCGAGCGGUAAGGCCCUUUCGGGGGUACACGAGCGGCGAACGGGUGAGUAACACGUGGGUGACCUGCCCUCAGCUCUGGGAUAAGCCUGGGAAACCGGGUCUAAUACUGGAUAUGACUCCAUGACGCAUGUUGUGGGGUGGAAAGCCUUGUGCGGCUGAGGAUGGGCCCGCGGCCUAUCAGCUUGUUGGUGGGGUGANGGCCUACCAAGGCGACGACGGGUAGCCGGCCUGAGAGGGCGACCGGCCACACUGGGACUGAGACACGGCCCAGACUCCUACGGGAGGCAGCAGUGGGGAAUAUUGCGCAAUGGGCGAAAGCCUGACGCAGCGACGCCGCGUGAGGGAUGACGGCCU
rnacentral:rRNA from 1 species